AUACGUAGGGACAAGCCGUGUCCGGAAUGCCCGGGCGUAAAGGGCCCGUAGGCGGUCCAUUAAGUCUGAUGUGAAAGGUACCGGCCCAACCGGGGAAGUGCAUUGGAAACUGGUAGACUUGAGUCUUGGAGAGGCACGUGGAAUUCACAGGUUAACGGUGAAAGUCGUAGAUAUUAGGAGGAGCACCAGGGGCGAAGGCGGCUUGCUGGACAAAUAAUGACGCGGAGGUGCGAAAGCGUGGGGAGCGAACAGGAUUAGAUACCCUGGUAGUCCACGCCGUAAACGAUGAAUGAUAGGUGUUGGGGAAACUCAGUGCCGCAGUUAACACAAUAAGCAUUCCGCCUGGGGAGUACGACCGCAAGGUUGAAACUUAAAGGAAUUGACGGGG
rnacentral:rRNA from 1 species